rnacentral:tRNA from 1 species
GGAACUUGGGCCGCCCCACCUUUGGCGAUUCCUGCUUUGCAAGCAGGAUGUCAGGAGUUCGAAUCUCCUAGGCUCCA